rnacentral:lncRNA from 1 species
GUUCCUGUUUCCCUCGUAGCUAGUUCUCUAUGUAAUAUACAUUUUCAAGCACCCUCAUGCUCCCCUUAUAAGGAGAAAAUGCGUGUUACUAAAAAUAACACAAUGGAGAUGAUGAACGGAAAACCAAUGCAAAGAAAAUAAUGAUAUAUAUUUUGGUAGAAACAGAACUAUUAUUCCCGACAAAAAAAUUGGGAAGGGAAAAAUCCUAUAAACUGCUUGGUUUAUGGUCAUGAAUUGAUGACAAUGUUGGACAACUUGCCAGUGAUUUUAAAACCAUUUAUUUUGAGGAUACUUGGCCGUAUAUUUGCUGGGCUUCCUAUAUAUGUUAUUAUAAUCUAGUCAUCCACCGUAUAUGAGCUAUUUUGCAAUCUGAUUGAUUGAGCUACUCGCUUUAUAUUAUAACUUAUUGGAUUC